UAAUAAACUAUAUUUUAAUUCUACACACUCCGUCUCAAUGAUAUUUGAAUUCUAAAUACUUGCAUA
rnacentral:sRNA from 1 species